UAAUUGAUGGAUAGUAUGAAUGGUUAAACGAAUAUUACACUGUCUCAAGUAAAAAUUUUAUGAAAUUAAGAUAAUAGUUAAGACGCUAUUUCAAACUGUAAGACGAAAAGACCCUAUAGAGCUUAACUAUAAACUUUUUUGAUAAAGAUCAUCAAAAAAUGAUUAUAAAAGAAAGUUAGGUAGUUUAGUUGGGGCGACUGUCUUCUAAAAAGAACGAAGACUAGCAAAGUUAAUAAAAAUAACUUAUUGUUUAAUAAAUUUAUUUAACAAUUACAAAAGUAGGCUAUAAUGACCCAUUGAAUUUAAGAAAGUAAAUCAAUGAUUAAAAAAUAAAAGCUACCUUAGGGAUAACAGGAUAAUUUUGUCUUAGAGAUCAUAUCGAAGACAAAGUUUGUCACCUCUAUGUUGAAUUGAGAUAUCCUGAUAAUGCA
rnacentral:rRNA from 1 species